rnacentral:rRNA from 1 species
GACGAACGCUGGCGGCGUGCUUAACACAUGCAAGUCGAACGGAGAUUUUAGCAAUAGAAUCUUAGUGGCGAACGGGUGAGUAACGCGUAGGCAAUCUGCCUUCUAGAUGGGGACAACAUCCCGAAAGGGGUGCUAAUACCGAAUGUUGUACCGUUUCCGCAUGGAGAUGAUACUAAAGGUGGCCUCUGAAUAUGCUACCGCUAGAAGAUGAGCCUGCGUCUGAUUAGCUAGUUGGAGGGGUAACGGCCCACCAAGGCUUCGAUCAGUAGCCGGUCUGAGAGGAUGAACGGCCACACUGGGACUGAGACACGGCCCAGACUCCUACGGGAGGCAGCAGUGGGGAAUCUUCCGCAAUGGACGAAAGUCUGACGGAGCAACGCCGCGUGAGUGAAGAAGGUUUUCGGAUCGUAAAGCUCUUUCGUUAGGGACGAACGUGCUCUUUGUGAAUAAUGAGGAGUAAUGACGGUACCUAAAUAAGAAGCCACGGCUAACUACGUGCCAGCCGCCGCAGUAA